rnacentral:rRNA from 1 species
CCUACGGGAGGCAGCAGUGGGGAAUUUUGGACAAUGGGCGCAAGCCUGAUCCAGCCAUGCCGCGUGCAGGAUGAAGGCCUUCGGGUUGUAAACUGCUUUUGUACGGAACGAAAAGACUCUGGUUAAUACCUGGGGUCCAUGACGGUACCGUAAGAAUAAGCACCGGCUAACUACGUGCCAGCAGCCGCGGUAAUACGUAGGGUGCGAGCGUUAAUCGGAAUUACUGGGCGUAAAGCGUGCGCAGGCGGUUAUAUAAGACAGAUGUGAAAUCCCCGGGCUCAACCUGGGAACUGCAUUUGUGACUGUAUAGCUAGAGUACGGCAGAGGGGGAUGGAAUUCCGCGUGUAGCAGUGAAAUGCGUAGAUAUGCGGAGGAACACCGAUGGCGAAGGCAAUCCCCUGGGCCUGUACUGACGCUCAUGCACGAAAGCGUGGGGAGCAAACAGGAUUAGAUACCCUGGUAGUCCACGCCCUAAACGAUGUCAACUGGUUGUUGGGUCCUUCACUGACUCAGUAACGAAGCUAACGCGUGAAGUUGACCGCCUGGGGAGUCGGCCGCAAGGUUGAAACCUNAAANAGAGUGAGNGNGAGAGNGCGAGGACGACGACGAGGGGAGAGG